rnacentral:sRNA from 1 species
AUCGCAGCGUCGGAUGUUCAGAGCAGCAGAAGCCGGCGUCGUCGGAUGUUGUGUUGCCCGCCACCAUGAGCUACACAGGCUUUGUCCAGGGAUCUGAAACCACUUUGCAGUCGACAUACUCGGAUACCAGCGCUCAGCCCACCUGUGAUUAUGGAUAUGGAACUUGGAACUCUGGGACAAACAGAGGCUACGAGGGCUAUGGCUAUGGCUAUGGCUAUGGCCAGGAUAACACCACCAACUAUGGGUAUGGUAUGGCCACUUCACACUCUUGGGAAAUGCCUAGCUCUGACACAAAUGCAAACACUAGUGCCUCGGGUAGCGCCAGUGCCGAUUCCGUUUUAUCCAGAAUUAACCAGCGCUUAGAUAUGGUGCCGCAUUUGGAGACAGACAUGAUGCAAGGAGGCGUGUACGGCUCAGGUGGAGAAAGGUAUGACUCUUAUGAGUCCUGCGACUCGAGGGCCGUCCUGAGUGAGCGCGACCUGUACCGGUCAGGCUAUGACUACAGCGAGCUUGACCCUGAGAUGGAAAUGGCCUAUGAGGGCCAAUACGAUGCCUACCGCGACCAGUUCCGCAUGCGUGGCAACGACACCUUCGGUCCCAGGGCACAGGGCUGGGCCCGGGAUGCCCGGAGCGGCCGGCCAAUGGCCUCAGGCUAUGGGCGCAUGUGGGAAGACCCCAUGGGGGCCCGGGGCCAGUGCAUGUCUGGUGCCUCUCGGCUGCCCUCCCUCUUCUCCCAGAACAUCAUCCCCGAGUACGGCAUGUUCCAGGGCAUGCGAGGCGGGGGCGCCUUCCCGGGCGGCUCCCGCUUUGGUUUCGGGUUUGGCAAUGGCAUGAAGCAGAUGAGGCGGACCUGGAAGACCUGGACCACAGCCGACUUCCGAACCAAGAAGAAGAAGAGAAAGCAGGGCGGCAGUCCUGACGAGCCAGAUAGCAAAGCCACCCGCACGGACUGCUCGGACAACAGCGACUCAGACAAUGAUGAGGGCACCGAGGGGGAAGCCACAGAGGGCCUUGAAGGCACCGAGGCUGUGGAGAAGGGCUCCAGAGUGGACGGAGAGGACGAGGAGGGAAAAGAGGAUGGGAGAGAAGAAGGCAAAGAGGAUCCAGAGAAGGGGGCCCUAACCACCCAGGAUGAAAAUGGCCAGACCAAGCGCAAGUUGCAGGCAGGCAAGAAGAGUCAGGACAAGCAGAAAAAGCGGCAGCGAGACCGCAUGGUGGAAAGGUAACCAGCUUCCCUCCACCCCUCUGCCUCUGCCUCGCUGUGGGGCUGCCGCCAGGAGAGCAGGGCCAUAGCUCUGCCAGCUCGCCGCCCUCUGGCCUCCCUUGGGAGCCGCCACCUGCUCGGCCGUGCAUGGACCCUGCUUCCCGCCAGGCCCAGCUCCCAAGGCCUGACUCAUCCCCUGCCCCUCUGCGGCCGCCUGGCGACCGCUGGCGUCUGUGGGCCGAGACCUGACACCGCUCGGCACCGUUGCUCAGAAGCUCUGGCGCUAGGUCACUCGGCGCACGAACCCCAAGGUGCACUGGGGGCCUGAUGCCCCUGAGGGAGGGGGCCAGCUCAUCAGAGACUCAAGGUCCAAGGCGCCUGUGCCGCCCCAGCUAGCUGCCAAGAGGCCACCGCCGUGCCCAGGAGAGAUGGCAGCACCUGUGGGCUGUGGCAGCCUCGGGCCUGCCUUCUGCCCUGCCCGCCCGCCCUGUCAGGCCGGGCCUGUCUGCGGCUGAGCCCUUCACGCCCCUUGGUCGGGUCUGUCUGCCCUCAGGGCUCCCGCACUGGCGCUUGCCUCCUCCGCCUCAGACUCUUGCUCUUGCUGGACCUUCCUCAGCCUCGCCGGCGCCCGGCCCCUGGGCUCUCCAGACAAAGCUGACCCCGUGGCCCAGAUAAGGACGUCCGGCAGAGGAUCCAGUUUGUGUGUUCUCUGUGCAAAUACCGGACCUUCUAUGAGGACGAGAUGGCCAGCCAUCUUGACAGCAAGUUCCACAAGGAACACUUUAAGUACGUAGGCACCAAGCUCCCUAAGCAGACGGCUGACUUUCUGCAGGAGUACGUCACUAACAAGACCAAGAAGACAGAGGAGCUCCGAAAAACUGUGGAGGACCUUGAUGGCCUCAUCCAGCAAAUCUACAGAGACCAGGAUCUGACCCAGGAAAUUGCCAUGGAGCAUUUUGUGAAGAAGGUGGAGGCAGCCCAUUGUGCAGCCUGCGACCUCUUCAUUCCCAUGCAGUUUGGGAUCAUCCAGAAGCAUCUGAAGACCAUGGAUCACAACCGGAACCGCAGGCUCAUGAUGGAGCAGUCCAAGAAGUCCUCCCUCAUGGUGGCCCGCAGUAUUCUCAACAACAAGCUCAUCAGCAAGAAGCUGGAGCGCUACCUGAAGGGCGAGAACCCUUUCACCGACAGCCCCGAGGAGGAGAAGGAGCAGGAGGAGGCUGAGGGCGGUGCCCUGGACGAGGGGGCGCCGGGCGAAGCGGCAGGGAUCUCGGAGGGCGCAGAGGGCGUGCCGGCGCAGCCUCCCGUGCCCCCAGAGCCAGCCCCCGGGGCCGUGUCGCCGCCACCGCCGCCGCCCCCAGAGGAGGAGGAGGAGGGCGCCGUGCCCUUGCUGGGAGGGGCGCUGCAACGCCAGAUCCGCGGCAUCCCGGGCCUCGACGUGGAGGACGACGAGGAGGGCGGCGGGGGCGCCCCGUGACCCGAGCUCGGGGCGGGCGGGGCCCGCGUGGCCGAAGCUGGAAACCAAACCUAAUAAAGUUUUCCCAUCCU